rnacentral:rRNA from 1 species
UACGUAGGGUGCGAGCGUUGUCCGGAUUUAUUGGGCGUAAAGAGCUCGUAGGCGGCUUGUCGCGUCGGAUGUGAAAGCCCGGGGCUUAACUCCGGGUCUGCAUUCGAUACGGGCAGGCUAGAGUGUGGUAGGGGAGAUCGGAAUUCCUGGUGUAGCGGUGAAAUGCGCAGAUAUCGGGAAGAACACCCGUGGCGAAGGCGGCUCUCUGGGACGGUACUGACGCUGAGACGCGAAAGCGUGGGGAGCGAACAGG